UCUGCAAUACAAUACAACACACCAAUCAAAUUUAAUAUGUAAUCAACCAUCAUAAGAAUACAAAACAUUAAAAUCAAAUUAUUAACACAAAAUUUAUCAAUGUUUCAAAAGUAAACUACAAAAUAUACAAAAGACUACAAAACUACAACAUCAGUAUCCUCAGUCAUAGAAUCUGAAUCCUCUGUGGUGUAAUAAUCAUCCAGUAGGCUUAGUCUUUUCGCUGCCUGAGGUGCAUCACAAGGACAAGAAGGAAGAAUCCGUGCAGAUUGAAGAAUACAAUCAAUCUGCUCCUGCAUCAUUCUCAUUUGUCAUGAUGUUUCCUCUUUCUUAUUCUUCGCCCUCUCAUUCUGUGUAGCAAGCUCUUUAGUGAGUUGAGAAAUCGUAUUUGUAGUAACUCAAAGAUUUCUCUAUCAACUGAUAAGGUAAAGGAAGACCUAAUAUUCUCUGAAAAGCAUUUUCUAUGGUAGCCGUAGUAUGUGCCUUUAACUGGAGAACCCACAGUUUGUUUUCAGUACUCCUCCUCUACAUCUUCAGGUAUUGUUUUACCCUGAUUUUCAGAAGGUUGAGUACUACGAUACUCAUUAAUUAACUACAUAUAUUUGUCCUAUAUUCAAAGUAUAGCUUCUUGCCCAUAAGUGUGGCGUGCCUCACACAUAUGUACAAGACUCUACUCAAUGUGGCUUUCAGACUCCUUAGGACACUUUAAAACCUUAGGCUCUAAUACACAAUUUAUAACACCCCGAGAGUACACCUUGGGUGCUACACGGUGCUUAAGGUCCCAAGUGACCACAAGCUAACCCAUGAUACUAGUACCUGUUGUGAGCACUGGGUAAAACUUAUAACAAAAGAUCAUAUGCAAAAUUUAAUUGAAAAAUACCAUAAGGUUUUAAAUCAUACUUCUGAUAAUGUUUGUAAAAUAAUACUGAUAAAAUAGAUGAUAAUAACAACUGAAAACUAACUGACUGUCUGUACUAAUCUGAAAGGCUCUAAACUGUCUGGCUGUGGAGUUGAUGGGACAACGCCCCAACUAACUCCAACUGACUACUGAACUAAACAUACUAAAAUAACUAUAACAGUCCUCGGAACAUGAGGACUCACUACUACUACUGCUGCGGGUACGCUGGGAUAUCUAGGUACGGUCGGAAACCUGAGCAUCCGAACCUAUGAUAUGAAACAUCAUAGCACAAAAAACGAGUAUGUGGUCAGUACUCUGAAUGUACUGGUAUGCUAAAUGAGGUUAGCCUAAUAAACAUGGCUCAUAUGCAUGAAUAAUAACUGACUAUAUGAAUAACGUGAGAUACCUAGUAAGAGUGCAUAAAAUCUGUAAAGACUGAUAAUGCAUGACCAAGCAUAAAAUAUGUUCUAACAUAAUCUACGAACUGAAACACUAAAUACUGAUAACUGGACAACUGAUAUCUUUAUGCUAUGGUCAACAAAACUAUGACUAAAUACUGGACUGAGAUUGUGGGAGCUAUCAUCUAACCGACAUGCCCUAAAUGAACUGAUUGGGGUCCAACCUGUAACCCUAGUUAGAAAGGUGUCAGUACCGUUCCACGGAUACUAACAAUGGCUAUGUGGAUCCACUAAAUAGUCACCCUCAUUUGGCAGGUGCUCUAAUGAGAUAUGUGUUACCCUCAACUGGCAGGUGAACACUUUAUCAAUCCUCAACUGGCAGGUUGAUAUCUCUAACCUACGUUGGCUACGUAGUUCUAGAACUAAGGGACUUCUACUAAAGGUCACACCCUCAACUGGCAGGUGAGCCCCCAUCCCUAGGUUCGCUCGGUGCUAAAUCCUACUCCCAACUAAACUGACUCUAAUUACUGAACUGAACUGAGCUUAUUGACAUAAUGUACUAACUGAACUGACAAUGCUAUAUCUGAAAACAUAUUGACAAUACUAAGACUAAGUAAACAACUAAGUUUCGGGUAUUUAUAACCCCCAGGACUCGAUAGCAAUGACAACAAGAUCAUAGCAACACUUUGAGAACAUGACAUGUAAUUAAUAUUCAAAACUCAUUCCUUGAGGCAUUUCAUCAAACACUUGUAAUGCAUGUCUUAAACACGGGAAUAGUUUUUAAAGCAUAUAGUAGUAGCAUGAUUUUGAUACUAAAUCCCCAAAGUAAGGCUUAAAUCUUAACACCACCAUUCAAACAUGUAGGGUUUAAUAACGACAACAAUUUCAUGGAAACAUGAUAUAAACUUGAAAUUCAUGGAAAUUUAUAGGCAAAGAUCAUGGGAACAUGUAAAAAUCAUGGCUUUAAACUUAAAAUUUAGUUCUUGGACUCCAUGGGUGAAAAGGACCCAUGGAUGAACAUUUAACAUUCCUUAGUUGGUGAAAUUGAGAAAGUUCUUAAUGAAUUCUUGAAGACUGAUCUUGAAUGUUGGAUGAGUUAGGGUUUGUUCUUAAAAGAGGGAUACUUUAAUUUGAGAGAAUUGUGAAAUAAUGGGCAAAUAAUUCUAUCUUGGGACUUAAAUCCCGUGUUUUGGAUGAAUUGGGUGAGGGAAAAGGACCUAAAUGCCCUUGAAAAAUCAUAACUGAAGGUGGAAAUACACGGGGGCGAUGGAGCACGCGCCGCAGGCUCCAGUCUGCCGGGAUGAACCGCGGUCCACGGGCUCUAUCGCGGGUUCCCCUUAGGGGUGAAAUGAAGGGUGCAUCGCGGGCUAAUCCCGUGCUACCUCUGUUUUAGACGUCCAAACUCGUCCUUAUGCUGGUCCGAAAUUUUCGAAACUUACCCAAGACGUACUAUGGACUAUCUCGAUCAUGAAUCAACUUUAACUUUCCGAUGUUUGGACGAUCAAAAAUAAAUUCAUCAAAGUUAAGGGCUUUAGAAAUGAAUAAGUCUUAACACUUAGUGAAUAUUCUAAGUCGUUGACUCCUUUAACAUGCAAAAGUGAGCUGAAAUGAGCUAGGAUUUUACGGAGUCUUACAAUAUCUCCCCCUUGGAAACAAUAUGGCCAUCACCGGAAACAAUAUGGUUGAAAAGUGGCCACACUUAACUAAAUUCAAAAAACAAGUUCACUUUUCAAGUAACUAAAUUCAAAACACAAGUUAACCUUUCAAUUAACUAAAUUCAAAACACAAGUUCACCUUUCAAGUAACUAAAUUCAAAUUUCAAGUCACCAAUUCAUAAUUCAAGUCAAUACACUUAAAACAUUUUCAAGUCACUAAUUCACCUCUUAAGUUACUAUAUUUAACAAUUUUCAAGUCAUGAAUUCACAUUUCAAGCAACUACACUAAACCAUUUUUAAAUCACUAAUUCACAUUUUCAAAUGACCACAUAACUAAAUCCAAAACACAAGUUCAUCUUUCAAGUAAGUACAGUUAAAUAUUUUCAAGUCACUAAUUAAAUUUUCAAGUGACCACACUUGAUCAUUUUGAAGUCACUAAUUCACUUCUCAAGUGACCACACUUAACUAAAUUCAAAACACAAGUUCACUUUUCAAGUAACUACACUUAAAUAUUUUCAAGUCACUAAUUCACUUCUCAAGUGACCACACGUAACUAAAUUCAAAACACAAGUUCACUUCUCAAGUGACUACACUUGAUCAUUUUGAAGUCACUAUUUCACUUCUUAAGUGACCACACUUAACUAAAUUCAAAACGCAAGUUCACCUUUCAAGUAACUACACUUAAACAUUUUCAAAUCACUAAUUCACUUCUCAAGCGAACACACUUAACUAUAUUCAAAACACAAGUUCACUUUUCAAGGAGCUACACUUAAAUAUUUUCAAGUCACUAAUUCACUUCUCAAGUGACCACACUUAAAUAAAUUCAAAACAAAAGUUCACCUUUCAAGUAACUAAAUUCAAAACACAAGUUCAGUUCUCAAGUAACUAGCUUACAUUUCAAAACAUUAUUCUUAAUGAAUUUCAAGUAACUAGUUUACAUUUAACGUGCCUAGACUUAACCAUUUCCAUAACGCAAGUUCACAUUCUCAAAUAACUACACAUAAUUAUUUUUAAAACACAAGUUCACUUGCAAAUAACUAAGUUCAAAACACAAGUCACCAAUUUACUUCUCAAGUGACUACACUUGAUCAUUUUCAAAUUACUAAUUCACUUCUCAAGUGACCACACUUAACUAAAUUCAAAACACAAGUUCAUAUUUCAAGUAACUACACUUGAACAUUUUCAAGUCACUAAUUCACUUUUCAAGUGACCACACUUAACUAAAUUCAAAACACAAGUUCACCUUUUAAAUAACUAAGUUCAAAACACAAGUCACUAAUUCACUUAUCAAGUGACUAUACUUGAUCAUUUUGAAGUAACUAAUUAAUAUUUCAAAACACUACACUUAACCAUUUUGAAGUAAUUAAUUCACAUUUCAAAUAAUUCAACAAGUUUAAUAAAGCAAAUAAGUAGAGGCGUCGCAUGUCCCUCUUAUACCAUAUAAUCAUUACAAAACCUAUGGCUUCAAAGCAUUCUACAGCAAACAAUUCCUCGGUAACACUACAUUUAAAGACUUCAUCAUAAGAAAAUAGAGAGAAAUCAACUUACCUUUGCUUGGCCUAAGUUGAAGAGAAAGAGACAAGCGGUCACCAAAAAAUAGCAAAGUAAUCCUUUUCCUAAAUUCGAGUUCGGUCAAAAAAUCUACAAUAUUGACAAUAUCUAAUUAACUAUUUGAAUUUUAAAAUUGGAUAAAUUAUUAGUGAACUAUUUUAUCCUUAAAACAUGAUCGACUAACUAUUUAUCUUGAUUUAAAAUGAAAUGGAGGAAAUAAUAAUUAUUUUGUAGUCCAAGCGUAUUAUAGUAAGUACUAAUAGCAUUCAAAAUUUACUGAGGUUAGCAUUAUUUGUCCCAAAUACCCAUUGUCUCAGCAUUUUCUAUUUGCAGAGCAAAAUCUGAUUCUCAAAUUCCUCUUUCUUGCUCAUUUAUUCUAACUUCCCUAUCUUUCCUUGUUCAAUUCCUUCGAUUUCAAAGUAACAGGGGUAUUUUCAGGGGUUAUGCUUGCUCAAUUUGAAAAACUUAAUUUCUUCACUUAUAAAUAUAUGGAGAACACAGUAAAAAGCACUACCUUUGUGGACAAUACUCAAAUUCUUGGGAAAAUUAGAGGCAGUCAUUGAGUGUCGACUGUACGGAUAUUUGGGGAAGAAAUAGCGAUAGUAACCACUAAACAAAAGUUUCAUUAAUGGAAUUGAACUGUUGUGGUGCAUCUUAGGAGGGCCGGUUUAAGGCGGAGUGCGGUGACCGAAGACAGACAUCAGUGAAUACUGAUACGGAGAACUUUAAGAUAGUCAUCAGUGACCUGACUGUAUUCGCUGACUCGAGCUGAGGCCGGUGACCUUAGUGUCGUCGUCGGUGAGAUGUUGUCAAGUCGGUGAGCUGAGUGUUGGGUUGCUGAGUGUGAGUAUUUUAGUCGUGAG
rnacentral:lncRNA from 1 species